rnacentral:rRNA from 1 species
UACGGAGGGUGCGAGCGUUGUCCGGAAUCACUGGGCGUAAAGGGCGCGUAGGUGGCUUAGCAAGCGUGUGGUGAAAGCCCGGGGCUUAACCCCGGGUCUGCCAUGCGAACUACUAUGGCUAGAGUACUGUAGAGGCAGGUUGAAUUCCGGGUGUAGCGGUGGAAUGCGUAGAGAUCGGGAAGAACAUCGGUGGCGAAGGCGGUCUGCUGGGCCGUUGCUGACGCUGAGGCGCGACAGCGUGGGGAGCAAACAGG